GAUCAUGGCUCAGGAUGAACGCUAGCGGCAGGCUUAACACAUGCAAGUCGAGGGGCAGCGCGGGAUAGCAAUAUCCUGGCGGCGACCGGCGGAAGGGUGCGUAACGCGUGAGCGACAUGCCCGUUGCCCGGGGACAACCGGUGGAAAACGCCGACUAAAUCCCCGAUGGGAUAUUGUGCCGCAUGGCACGAUAUUGAAAGUUACGGCGGCGACGGAUUGGCUCGCGUCCGAUUAGCUGGUUGG
rnacentral:rRNA from 1 species